rnacentral:rRNA from 1 species
GAGUUUGAUCCUGGCUCAGGACGAACGCUGGCGGCGUGCCUAAUACAUGCAAGUCGAACGAACUCUGGUAUUGAUUGGUGCUUGCAUCAUGAUUUACAUUUGAGUGAGUGGCGAACUGGUGAGUAACACGUGGGAAGCCUGCCCAGAAGCGGGGGAUAACACCUGGAAACAGAUGCUAAUACCGCAUAACAACUUGGACCGCAUGGUCCGAGUUUGAAAGAUGGCUUCGGCUAUCACUUUUGGAUGGUCCCGCGGCGUAUUAGCUAGAUGGUGGGGUAACGGCUCACCAUGGCAAUGAUACGUAGCCGACCUGAGAGGGUAAUCGGCCACAUUGGGACUGAGACACGGCCCAAACUCCUACGGGAGGCAGCAGUAGGGAAUCUUCCACAAUGGACGAAAGUCUGAUGGAGCAACGCCGCGUGAGUGAAGAAGGGUUUCGGCUCGUAAAACUCUGUUGUUAAAGAAGAACAUAUCUGAGAGUAACUGUUCAGGUAUUGACGGUAUUUAACCAGAAAGCCACGGCUAACUACGUGCCAGCAGCCGCGGUAAUACGUAGGUGGCAAGCGUUGUCCGGAUUUAUUGGGCGUAAAGCGAGCGCAGGCGGUUUUUUAAGUCUGAUGUGAAAGCCUUCGGCUCAACCGAAGAAGUGCAUCGGAAACUGGGAAACUUGAGUGCAGAAGAGGACAGUGGAACUCCAUGUGUAGCGGUGAAAUGCGUAGAUAUAUGGAAGAACACCAGUGGCGAAGGCGGCUGUCUGGUCUGUAACUGACGCUGAGGCUCGAAAGUAUGGGUAGCAAACAGGAUUAGAUACCCUGGUAGUCCAUACCGUAAACGAUGAAUGCUAAGUGUUGGAGGGUUUCCGCCCUUCAGUGCUGCAGCUAACGCAUUAAGCAUUCCGCCUGGGGAGUACGGCCGCAAGGCUGAAACUCAAAGGAAUUGACGGGGGCCCGCACAAGCGGUGGAGCAUGUGGUUUAAUUCGAAGCUACGCGAAGAACCUUACCAGGUCUUGACAUACUAUGCAAAUCUAAGAGAUUAGACGUUCCCUUCGGGGACAUGGAUACAGGUGGUGCAUGGUUGUCGUCAGCUCGUGUCGUGAGAUGUUGGGUUAAGUCCCGCAACGAGCGCAACCCUUAUUAUCAGUUGCCAGCAUUAAGUUGGGCACUCUGGUGAGACUGCCGGUGACAAACCGGAGGAAGGUGGGGAUGACGUCAAAUCAUCAUGCCCCUUAUGACCUGGGCUACACACGUGCUACAAUGGAUGGUACAACGAGUUGCGAACUCGCGAGAGUAAGCUAAUCUCUUAAAGCCAUUCUCAGUUCGGAUUGUAGGCUGCAACUCGCCUACAUGAAGUCGGAAUCGCUAGUAAUCGCGGAUCAGCAUGCCGCGGUGAAUACGUUCCCGGGCCUUGUACACACCGCCCGUCACACCAUGAGAGUUUGUAACACCCAAAGUCGGUGGGGUAACCUUUUAGGAACCAGCCGCCUAAGGUGGGACAGAUGAUUAGGGUGAAGUCGUAACAAGGUAGCCGUAG